AUGUCUGAUCGAUUGCAUUAUAGUUUGCCGAUGAAAUGCCCUCUGGACUUGUAUAACAUAUCAACCUUCCUAUUUGCCCACUUCGAUCCACUCCUUGUAAUCAUAUUGCUCAUGUUGUAUUGUGCUGUAUCAACUUGUAUUUUUGAAUAUUUUUCAAUACUCUCUGGACCACAAUUACUAAUUAUAUAUAAUAUAUAUGACUAUUUUGAAAUUUAUCUAUUUAUAGAUUCAUAUGGAGUUAAAAUACAAAUAGUUAUGCCAAUUCUUUUUAUGCCUUAUUCUGAAUAUUUCAUACAGCAAAUCUUAAGUAUAUUUACCUAA
rnacentral:rRNA from 1 species